rfam:Microgenomates (Woesebacteria) bacterium GW2011_GWA1_37_7 TS53_C0022, whole genome shotgun sequence.
GGUGGGAUGGCCGAGCGGUCUAAGGCGACGGUUUGCUAAACCGUUGAGGGAUAACACUCUCGCGCAGGUUCGAAUCCUGUUCCCACCG